GUUCGUUCUCGAAGCAUCCACCACCUCCGAUGGCCGACGAAGGCGAGCUCCUCGCCGGCGGCGAGCCCAUCCGGCCGCCGCGGCUGGAGGACGCUGGCCUGGAGGACUGCGCCCUGCCGCCGGAGUCCAUAGCCGAGGCCUUCUCGCUCGCCGCCAAGGCCGCCGCCUCCCGCCUCGCCCACUUCUCCCUUUCCGACGAGGACGACGACGGCCUCCUCAAGAUGCGUGGUGGCGGCGCUGGGGGGUGCGUGGACGACUCGGGUCCCACCUGCGGGACCAUACCGGACGCACUCGUCGGGGUGGGGGGCGGCCGGGGGAGCUGCGCCGACGAGGUCGUGGUGGUCGGCGGAGGGGGUGAGGGCGGAGACGAGGUGGUCGUCGGAGGAAGAGGGGAUGAGGAGGACAGGAUUGUUGUGGUCGGGGAGGAGCUGGAGGGGAAGCUUGGAUCCGAGAACGGCUGCGUCGAGGGGAUCAGACAAGGAAUUGAUGAACCGGAUCGCGGAGAAGGCAAUGGAGAAGAAGGGAGGGUGGAGGAGGAGGUGGUGGUUGCUGUGGAGAAGGCGAUCUUGGUGGAGGAUUUCGCGUGAGCUCGACUGCUUGACUCUACCUUCAAGCUCAUCUUGGGCAAAUAUAAAUACCUUUGGAUGAACAUUGCUGCUGAUAUGCGGAUACAGGAAGAUGUUGAAAAGGAGCCAAUUGGUUUUCUUGGAUUUCUUUGCUCCAGGAACUGCGUAUUUAUAUCACAAGGCUGGUACCGCUAUCUGGCAAGGGGGCUCACGACUAUUGGAUUCCAGAGAAUCCUGUGUAAUGUUCAAAAAGAUGAUAUUUUAUCAUUAUCCAUACAUCAUCAUAGCAUAGAUUAUGGUUGCUAGUAAUAAUUUUGUCUUAUGGAUAUCAGGUUUCUUAUCCUGUUUGUUCAUUUGGACUUUAUUGUUUUAGCAACUACUCGAGGCACAUGCGUUGUAGUCAUUUUUCUCCUUUUUGUUGGGUCAAUGCGGCUCGCAUUGAAUAAGCUUCUGAAUAGGAAUGGAAAUACAUCUUGCCAUCCAGAAAUGGUUAGGGCAAAUUGAAUGAUGUUUGAUGCCUUGCUGUUACUAGUACGCCCUUUUUGUACUACAAGAUGUACAUUUUUUUUGGCAUGAUCAGGGCAGUGAUAUCCAAAUAGCAUUCCAUCAUGAAGAAUAGAACUUGCAUGCAACCAAGAUAAGUUGCUAAUUCAAUAGGGAAUGGCUUCAAAGCAUGUGGUGCAAACAAAUUUUGGCACGCACCUGUUGAUGCUGUUCCUUCUGUUCUUUUUUUGGCCUGUGACCUGGGACUGAAAGCAACCAUCAUGAUCAUGUAAAGUCAUGCAUGUGAGCUGCCGAUCAGGAAACAUAAUCCUUCGUGAAAGGUACUAACAUCUACUACGCUUGGCCCUACAGGAACAGGAAAUGCUCAUAGAUUGGAUCUACAUCUACUUGUCACACUCCUUGCUGGAGAGGGUCCUACAACUUCUGAAGUUCUGUCAUAGUAAUACUACUAAGUUUGAAAGCACAAUAUGUAAUCACUAGUAUCUAGUAAUCAUGUGUUCACAUGGCAACUCUCAGGUUAAUUUGGUCAUGUUAUAUCAUUAAUUGCGUACUUGGUGGCUGGAAAUCUGUGUUCAUUUCAAACAAAUCAAGAGGGCAGCUACUGCCUUGUUGCUGCAUGUGAUACAUAUUAACGUGGCCCAUUAGUAAUAAAAUGUCGGAUCCCCAGCCUGUGUUUUCAU